UACGUAGGGGGCAAGCGUUAUCCGGAUUUACUGGGUGUAAAGGGAGCGUAGACGGUGAUGCAAGUCAGAAGUGAAAGCCCAGGGCUCAACCCUGGGACUGCUUUUGAAACUGCCGGGCUGGAGUGCAGGAGAGGUAAGCGGAAUUCCUAGUGUAGCGGUGAAAUGCGUAGAUAUUAGGAGGAACACCAGUGGCGAAGGCGGUCUGCUGGACAGUAACUGACGGUGAGGCGCGAAAGCGUGGGGAGCAAACAGG
rnacentral:rRNA from 1 species